GACGAACGCUGGCGGCGUGCUUAACACAUGCAAGUCGAACGAUGAAGCCGGAGCUUGCUCUGGUGAAUUAGUGGCGAACGGGUGAGUAACACGUUAGUAACCUGCCCUUGACUCUGGGAUAACUGCUAGAAAUGGUAGCUAAUACCGGAUACGACCCUCGAAGGCAUCUUCAGGGGGUGGAAAGAAUUUCGGUCAAGGAUGGACUCGCGGCCUAUCAGCUAGUUGGUGAGGUAAUGGCUCACCAAGGCGACGACGGGUAGCCGGCCUGAGAGGGUGACCGGCCACACUGGGACUGAGACACGGCCCAGACUCCUACGGGAGGCAGCAGUGGGGAAUAUUGCACAAUGGGCGCAAGCCUGAUGCAGCAACGCCGCGUGAGGGAUGACGGCCUGCGGGUUGUAAACCUCUUUUAGUAGGGAAGAAGCGAAAGUGACGGUACCUGCAGAAAAAGCACCGGCUAACUACGUGCCAGCCGCCGCAGUAA
rnacentral:rRNA from 1 species